GGUCAAGGAGCUGGAGGCCUGGGGAGGAGCUGGUGUUUCUGUUCAAGUUUGAGGGUCCUGGAGCUGGAGCCCAGGGGAGGAGCCAGUGCUGCCACUGAUGUCUUAGGGUCGUGGAGCUGAAGAUCCCAGAGGAGCCGGUGCUGCUAUUCUAGCUUGAGUUUCGUGGAGCUGGAGACCCAGGGAGAAGAUGGUGCUGCUGUUCUAAUUUAAGGAUCGUGAAACAGAAGACCCAGAAAGGAGCUGGUGCUGCCGCUGCUCAGAUCUGAGGGUGUUGGAGCUGGAGCCUGGGGGUGGAGCCAUUGCUGCCAUUGAAGUGUGAGAGUCAUUGAGCUGGAAGUCCAGGAAGCAGCUGGUGCUGCUGUUCUAGUUUGAGGGUUGUGGAGUGCAGACCCAGGCAGGAGCAACAUUGCUGUAGUUCGAGGGUCAGAAAGCUGGCGACCCAGGGAGGAGAGGUCUUGUUCUAGUUUGAUUUUCGUGGAGCUGCAGACCCAGGGAGGAGCAAUGUUGUUGUAAUUCGAGGGUGUGGUAGCUGGCAACCUGGGGAGGAGAAGUCUUGUUCGAGUUUGAGGCUCGUGGAGCUGCCGACCAGGGAGGAGCAAUUUUGUUGCAGUUCGAGGGUCAGGAAGCUGGCGACCCAGGGAGGAGAGGUCUUGUUCUAGUUUGAGGGUCGUGGAGCUGCAGACCCAUGGAGGAGCAAUUUUGUUGUAAUUCGAGGGUCUGGAAGCUGGAGACCCAGGGAGGAGAGGUCUUGUUCUGGUCUGAGGGUCCUGGAGCUACAGACCCAGGGAGGAGCAAUGUUGUUGUAAUUUGAGGGUUCGGUAGCUGGCACCCUGGGGAGGAGAAGUCUUGUUCUAGUUUGAGGGUGGUGGAGCUGCAGAGCCAGGGAGGAGCAGUGUUGUUGUAGUUUGAGGGUCAUGGAGGUACAGACCCAGGGAGGAGCCGUGUUGUUUUGAGUGUCGUGGAGCCGGAGAUCCACGGAGGAGCUGG
rnacentral:lncRNA from 1 species